UACGAAGGGGGCUAGCGUUGCUCGGAAUUACUGGGCGUAAAGGGCGCGUAGGCGGAUGUUUAAGUCGGGGGUGAAAGCCCGGGGCUCAACCUCGGAAUUGCCUUCGAUACUGGACAUCUUGAGUACGGGAGAGGUGAGUGGAACUCCGAGUGUAGAGGUGAAAUUCGUAGAUAUUCGCAAGAACACCAGUGGCGAAGGCGGCUCACUGGCCCGGUACUGACGCUGAGGCACGAAAGCGUGGGGAGCAAACAGG
rnacentral:rRNA from 1 species